UGGGGAAUAUUGGACAAUGGGCGCAAGCCUGAUCCAGCAAUGCCGCGUGUGUGAAGAAGGCCUUCGGGUUGUAAAGCACUUUUAUCAGGAGCGAAACGCUGUCGGCUAAUACCCGGCGGAACUGACGGUACCUGAGGAAUAAGCACCGGCUAACUUCGUGCCAGCAGCCGCGGUAAUACGAAGGGUGCAAGCGUUAAUCGGAAUUACUGGGCGUAAAGCGUGCGUAGGCGGUUUCUUAAGUCUGCUGUGAAAUCCCCGGGCUCAACCUGGGAAUGGCAGUGGAUACUGGGAGGCUAGAGUGUGUCAGAGGGUGGUGAAUUCCCGGUGUAGCGGUGAAAUGCGUAGAGAUCGGGAGGAACAUCAGUGGCGAAGGCGGCCACCUGGGACAACACUGAUGCUGAGGCACGAAAGCGUGGGGAGCAAACAGGAUUAGAUACCCUGGUAGUCCACGCCCUAAACGAUGCGAACUGGAUGUUGGUCUCAACUCGGAGAUCAGUGUCGAAGCUAACACGUUAAGUUCGCCGCCUGGGGAGUACGGUCGCAAGACUGAAACUUAAAUGAAUUGACGGGGUCAUAGC
rnacentral:rRNA from 1 species